UACGUAGGGUGCAAGCGUUGUCCGGAAUUAUUGGGCGUAAAGAGCUCGUAGGCGGUCUGUCACGUCUGCUGUGAAAACUCGGGGCUUAACCCCGGGCCUGCAGUGGGUACGGGCAGACUAGAGUGCGGUAGGGGAGACUGGAAUUCCUGGUGUAGCGGUGAAAUGCGCAGAUAUCAGGAGGAACACCGGUGGCGAAGGCGGCUCGCUGGGCCAUUCCUGACGCUGAGACGCGAAAGCUAGGGGAGCGAACAGG
rnacentral:rRNA from 1 species